AACGCUAGCGGCAGGCCUAAUACAUGCAAGUCGAACGAUAUUAAGGGGCUUGCUCCUUAAGAAAGUGGCGCACGGGUGCGUAACGCGUAUGCAACCUACCUUAAUCUGGGGGAUAGCCCGGAGAAAUCCGGAUUAAUACCGCAUAAAAUCACAGGAUGGCAUUAUCCAAUGAUCAAACAUUUAUGGGAUUGAGAUGGGCAUGCGUGUCAUUAGCUAGUUGGCGGGGUAACGGCCCACCAAGGCGACGAUGACUAGGGGAUCUGAGAGGAUGGCCCCCCACACUGGUACUGAGACACGGACCAGACUCCUACGGGAGGCAGCAGUAAGGAAUAUUGGUCAAUGGAGGCAACUCUGAACCAGCCAUGCCGCGUGCAGGAAGACUGCCCUAUGGGUUGUAAACUGCUUUUAUCCGGGAAUAAACCUAAGUACGUGUACUUAGCUGAAUGUACCGGAAGAAUAAGGAUCG
rnacentral:rRNA from 1 species